UAGGGAAUCUUCCGCAAUGGGCGAAAGCCUGACGGAGCAACGCCGCGUGAGUGAUGAAGGUCUUCGGAUCGUAAAACUCUGUUAUUAGGGAAGAACAAAUGUGUAAGUAACUAUGCACGUCUUGACGGUACCUAAUCAGAAAGCCACGGCUAACUACGUGCCAGCAGCCGCGGUAAUACGUAGGUGGCAAGCGUUAUCCGGAAUUAUUGGGCGUAAAGCGCGCGUAGGCGGUUUUUUAAGUCUGAUGUGAAAGCCCACGGCUCAACCGUGGAGGGUCAUUAGAAACUGGAAAACUUGAGUGCAGAAGAGGAAAGUGGAAUUCCAUGUGUAGCGGUGAAAUGCGCAGAGAUAUGGAGGAACACCAGUGGCGAAGGCGACUUUCUGGUCUGUAACUGACGCUGAUGUGCGAAAGCGUGGGGAUCAAACAGG
rnacentral:rRNA from 2 species